AUUGAACGCUGGCGGCAGGCUUAACACAUGCAAGUCGAGCGGAGAUGAGGUGCUUGCACCUUAUCUUAGCGGCGGACGGGUGAGUAAUGCUUAGGAAUCUGCCUAUUAGUGGGGGACAACAUUCCGAAAGGAAUGCUAAUACCGCAUACGUCCUACGGGAGAAAGCAGGGGAUCUUCGGACCUUGCGCUAAUAGAUGAGCCUAAGUCGGAUUAGCUAGUUGGUGGGGUAAAGGCCUACCAAGGCGACGAUCUGUAGCGGGUCUGAGAGGAUGGUCCGCCACACUGGGACUGAGACACGGCCCAGACCCCUACGGGAGGCAGCAGUGGGGAAUACUGGACAAUGGGGGGAACCCUGAUCCAGCCAUGCCGCGUGUGUGAAGAAGGCCUUAUGGUUGUAAAGCAUUUUAAGCGAGGAGGAGGCUACUGAGACUAAUACUCUUGGAUAGUGGACGUUACUCGCAGAAUAAGCACCGGCUAACUCUGUGCCAGCAGCCGCAGUAACAC
rnacentral:rRNA from 1 species